rnacentral:rRNA from 1 species
AUCGAACGCUGGCGGCAGGCCUAACACAUGCAAGUCGAGCGGAAGCAGCGAGCUUGCUCCUGGAUUCAGCGGCGGACGGGUGAAAAAUGCCUAGGAAUCUGCCUGAUCGCGGCGGAAAACGUCCGAAAACGGGCGCUAAUACCGCAACCGACCAGAGGGCGCCAGUGGGGGGGCCUCGGACCUCACGCCAACAUGUGAGCCUAGAACGGAAUAGCUAGUUGGUAGGGUAAAGGCCUACCAAGGCGACAAUCCGUAACUGGUCUGAGCGGAUGACCGGUGACACUGGGACGGAGCCAGCCUCCAGACGAAUACAGGAGGCAGCAGUGGGCAAUAGUGGACAAAGGGCGAAAGCCUUAUCCAGCCAUGCCGGGUGUGUGAAGAAGGUCUUGGGAUUGUAAAAAACUUUAAGUUGGGAGGAAGGGCAGUAAGUUAAUACCUUGCUGUAUUGACGUUACCAACAGAAUAAGCACCGGCUAACUUCGUG